rnacentral:lncRNA from 1 species
AACCCACGCACACAGCCAAACCCAACCUCCUUUCUGUCAUCACCUUCUUCUACUUUACCAUCUUCUCCUGCUUUUUCUACAAUCGCCAAUCUCCAUGAAUCGUGUAGCAUUGCCCAAAUACCUUGCCCACCGUUGCAGAGGCAUUCACCUCACAACUUGGAAGAGGUUUGGUAAUCGUUGCGAAAGUCAGGUCCAAGGUGUCGGGCCCCUGGGCUCUCUUCUCAAGUCCCGUUCCGUUAUACGGUUCCGCGGGCCUGACACCCUCAAGUUCCUACAGGGCCUCCUUACCAACGAUGUACGGAGGUUGGGUGACCCCAUUGGUGACAAAACUGAAAACUUGCCCACGCCGAACGUACCUGCUACGUCGAUUCCUCCUAUAUAUGCUGCCUUAUUGACCCCUCAAGGGAGAUUCCUCUACGACCUCUUUCUCUAUAAGCCUCCCACGAGGGACACCAAGCUCGAUAACACCGGCUCUGCUCCAGAGUCCAACUCCGAUGAACCCUUUCAUUUGUUUGCUGACGUGGAUGCUUCUGUGUUGGAUGAAUUGUUGCAAACCUUCAACAAGUGAGUUUAAUCUUUCUUUAUUUUAGUUUGGUUUAUUUGCUCUGUUAUGUAUCAAUGUAUCAUUGAUUCUUUUCGCGCCAUUGCUUUGAUUUAGACUUAAUUUCUCAACUUCACCUCUGAGUUAUGUAUGGGAAGGGAGAGAGAGAGAGAGAGAGAAGUUACUUCACUUUCAAUUAACAGUUAGUUUUUUUAUUUUUGGCAAUUCAUUUUUAUUACUUUUUCGCCAUUCGCACUUGGAAAGAUAAUUAUAUAUCCUUGGCCUUAAAAGGGUUAUAAUAUCUACCAUGAUUCUGAUUGAUUCACAGAUAUAAGUUUUAAGAUGAAAAGUACAUAGAAAUCAAACUCUACUAAUUAGGUGAAUUUUUAAGAGGAGCAAGUACGAGUAGAAGAAUGUAGAAUUGUUCUUGUAUUCAAUCCUUGUCUCCAAGCUUAACCUGGUGCAACCGCUAACGAGUCUUCCAAACACACUGAAGAGCAUUGAACAAUCUUUGUGUUUUCCAUAUAUAAAAUAAAUGCUCUGGUUUUUUUCCUAUAACUAGUGUCCUAGCAUUUGUCUUAAAGCUGUAGCUGAUAGAUACUGAAUGGUAUAGAACUGAUAGAAUCAAAUAGGAUUAGGGAAAAGAAACAAUGAAAAGAACUGAUAGUAACCGCUUAACCUCCUCUCAACUGUUCUGUGCCUCUUUUAUAGGGACCUGUUACGCAAUUCCCAUCUCUACUACUCUAUUUUUGCUCCUUCAUAUACCCUUUUAUUGCAUCCAUUUAUCGUGGUUAUGUUACACUGCAUAUGCAUGCUAUAAAGUCUGAUGAACUAGAUGUUUAGCCUGUGCACACAGUAGAUCGUUUGUGUUGCCUUGGCAUGUUGUUUUUGACGUGAUCAAAGCAAGUUCAUAAUUCGCUUGUGGUUUUUGGUUGCAGUUGAUCUUCUUCCUACACCUAUUGAUUUAUCUGUUCUUAUUUCCUAGCGGAAACCUUAUCAUUUUAGUGUUGCAGAUACCGGUUGUAUUACACAGCAUAUGCAUUGUAUAAAGUGUGGUUAUUUUACACUAAACAUGUAUCCUAUAAAGUCUGAUGAACUAGCUUUUUAGCCUCUGAAUAUAGGUAGAUCGUUUGACUUGCCUUGGCAUCUUGUUUUUUUCGUGAUCAGAGCAAUCCGGUUCAUGCUUUGGUUGUGGUUUUGGGUUGCAGUUGAUCUUAUUCCUUGUUGAUUUAUCGCUUCUUAUUUCUGAGCAGA